GAGUAACACGUGGGCAACCUGCCUGUAAGUUGGGGAUAACUCCGGGAAACCGGGGCUAAUACCGAAUGAUAAGAUGUGGCGCAUGCCACGCCUUUGAAAGAUGGGUUCGGCUAUCGCUUACAGAUGGGCCCGCGGUGCAUUAGCUAGUUGGUAGGGUAAUGGCCUACCAAGGCAACGAUGCAUAGCCGACCUGAGAGGGUGAUCGGCCACACUGGGACUGAGACACGGCCCA
rnacentral:rRNA from 1 species